GACGAACGCUGGCGGCGUGCUUAACACAUGCAAGUCGAACGGUGAAGCGCCUUCCUUUUUGGUGGGUGUGGAUGAGUGGCGAACGGGUGAGCAACACGUGAGUAACCUGCCCCCUUCUUCUGGAUAACCGCAUGAAAGUGUGGCUAAUACGGGAUAUUCUGGGUCUGUCGCAUGAUGGGUCUGGGAAAGAUAUUGUUUCGGUGGGGGAUGGGCUCGCGGCCUAUCAGCUUGUUGGUGGGGUGAUGGCCUACCAAGGCGGUGACGGGUAGCCGGCCUGAGAGGGUGGACGGUCACACUGGGACUGAGACACGGCCCAGACUCCUACGGGAGGCAGCAGUGGGGAAUAUUGCACAAUGGGCGCAAGCCUGAUGCAGCGACGCCGCGUGAGGGAUGGAGGCCUGCGGGUUGUGAACCUCUUUCGCCAGUGAAGCAGGCCUGCCUCGUUUGUGGGUGGGUUGACGGUAGCUGGAUAAGAAGCGCCGGCUAACUACGUG
rnacentral:rRNA from 1 species